AGAAAUAGGGUUAAUUGGGCUCAGACCCAGCCCAUGAACGAAAUUGAAAGGGGUAACAGAUUGAAUCACUCACUCACUUCCAUCAUAACUCAACUCAAUCAUCUCUACACCCCAAAUCUCAUAAAAAAUCGCUUCCGCCGAGUCGGGAAUCGCCUCUGAUGGCGGCGGAGCCCUAAACGAAAAAAGUCCACCACAAACACGCUCCUCUCCCCAUCGUCUACCACACCCUAACCUUUAAACCUCUUAGAACCUAUCCUAUGUCGUAGAUUCACCACCAAAUUAGAAAAUACUAAAUAUACUUCAACCAAAAUUAAAUGAUGCACACAUAAAGAAUCAAACAACAAUCAAGGGGAUAUGGUUCGCACAAGCUAUCUCUACCAUGUGGUAUCAAGAAAAGGAAAAAAAUAUGAAGAAUUGAGGAAGCUUAGAGACUUACCUACGGAGCUGAGACUUGCUUCGAUGGAUGUUGCAUAAUAAGCUUGAAGAUGAUAAUUAAGAAACCCAAAGAGGAGAUUACAGAUGCUCAGAUUUGAUGAUAGAUGAGCUUGAACUCCAAAUUGAGUGCUUUUGGAAUUGAACUAGUUGCAUAUAUGCAUGUGUAAUGGAAUGACAUUUGAAUAUAUUUGUGAUGCAUGACUGUACAUAGAAUUGAAUGUGUAUGGCAUUGGAUUGUUAUGGGCUUGUUCAUAUAUGGCAUUGCCCAUAACUAUUCAUUGAGAAUCAAGAAGGUUAAUCAGUUAUAUUUAAUACUAUUGAACCUUUGACCUAA